AAAUGAUCUGGUUUUGAAAGGGCCGUGUGGCUGGUUUUAAUGAGAAUGGUUAUGGGCGCCAAAGGACUCCAAAGGGCUCCUGUCAGAGAGACUUCAGGCAGCAUGUAGUUAUAUGGUUCUAGGAACAAAGGAAAUCAAAUCAAAUCAACAAAUCCACAAUAAACAAAAGCCAGCUUCAAUUAUCCUAGCUAACACAGUUCAAUAAUACAAAUUGACCAUAUAACGCUACCCCAAAAGUGCUAAGAACGGCAAUACUGAAAUGGCAUAAAUUUGGUCAAUAUGCUAACGGCUGAAUGCUACAACAAUAUCAUCAAAUCAAAUCAAAUGUAUUUAUAUAGCCCUUCUUACAUCAGCUGAUAUCUCAAAGUGCUGUACAGAAACCCAGCCUAAAACCCCAAAAAGCAAGCAAUGCAGGUGUAGAAGCACGGUGGCUAGGAAAAACUCCCUAGAAAGGCCAAAACCUAGGAAGAAACCUAGAGAGGAACCAGGCUAUGAGGGGUGGCCAGUCCUCUUCUGGCUGUGCCGGGUGGAGAUUAUAACAGCACAUGGCCAAGAUGUUCAAAUGUUCAUAAAUGACCAGCAUGGUCAAAUAAUAAAUAAUAAUAAUAUAACAGGUCACUUUACCUCAAAGGGUAAGUAGCAGUUAUUGAAUGGCAGUGAGAACUGAAAUGGAUAAUAUGCUAAAUGCUAAGGCUAAGUAGUAAUAGGCAAACAAUAGGGCAGUAAAACAUCACAAGAAAGUUCAAACACCAUCUGAAAGUAAGAAAUUAUAGCACAAAUCAAAGAACACAUUUACACUUUACAUCAGAAAAUAACUCACUUUUGGUUAAUUUUAAUGUGGCAUACUGCUGGACCUCAGCUGAUGGCUCUUCUUCUUCUGUGGUAUAUUGGCAAUUGCACAAUUGAAUGUGCAUCUGACCAAAAUCAAAUCAAUCAAAUUGUAUUUGUCACAUGCGCCGAAUACAACAGGUGUAGACCUCACUGUGAAAUGUUUACUUACAAGCCCUAAACCAACAAUGCUUUAAGAAGUUAAGAAUAAAAACAUGUUAAGUAAAAAAAUAGAUAAGUAAAAACAUAAAUACAAAAAAUAUAUAAUAUUUUGGGGUAAAUACAAGCAACAAAGAAUUAAACAGCAGCAGUAAAAUAGCAAUGUGGAGGCUAUAUACAGGGUGUACCGGUACAGAGUCAAUGUGGAGACUAUAUACAGGGUAUUACGGUACAGAGUCAAUGUGGAGGCUAUAUACAGGGGUACCGGUACAGAGUCAAUGUGGAGGCUAUAUACAGGGGGGUACCGGUACAGAGUCAAUGUGGAGGCUAUAUACAGGGUAUUACGGUACAGAGUCAAUGUGGAGGCUAUAUACAAGGGGUACCGGUACAGAGUCAAUGUGGAGGCUAUAUACAGGGGGUACCAGUACAGAGUCAAUGUGGAGGCUAUAUACAAGGGGUACCGGUACAGAGUCAAUGUGGAGGCUCUAUACAGGGGGUACCAGUACAGAGUCAAUGUGGAGGCUAUAUACAGGGGUACCGGUACAGAGUCAAUGUGGGGGCUAUAUACAGGGGGUACCAGUACAGAGUCAAUGUGGAGGCUAUAUACAGGGGGUACCAGUACAGAGUCAAUGUGGAGGCUAUAUACAGGGGGGUACCAGUACAGAGUCAAUGUGGAGGCUAUAUACAGGGGGUACCAGUACAGAGUCAAUGUGGAGGCUAUAUACAGGGGGUACCAGUACAGAGUCAAUGUGGAGGCUAUAUACAGGAGGUACCGGUACAGAGUCAAUGUGGAGGCUAUAUACAGGGGGUACCAGUACAGAGUCAAUGUGGAGGCUAUAUACAGGUGGUACCGGUACAGAGUCAAUGUGGAGGCUAUAUACAGGGGGUACCAGUACAGAGUCAAUGUGGAGGCUAUAUACAGGAGGUACCAGUACAGAGUCAAUGUGGAGGCUAUAUACAGGAGGUACC
rnacentral:lncRNA from 1 species